rnacentral:rRNA from 1 species
GUUGCCCAGAACAGAAUCUUAGUUCAACUUUAAACUUGCCUCAAAACCCUAAAAUUCCAAUGUAAGUUUAAAACAUAGUCUAAAGGGGUACAGCUUUUUAGAAUUAGGAUACAGCCUUAAUUAGAGAGUAAGCACAUAACACUAAACCAUAGUUGGCCUAAAAGCAGCCACCAAUUAAGAAAGCGUUCAAGCUCAACAAUUAAAACAUCUUAAUGUCAAAAUAAUGCAACCAACUCCUAAUUUAAAACUGGGCUAAUCUAUUAGAUAAUAGAAGCAACAAUGCUAAUAUGAGUAACAAGAAGUAUUUCUCCCGUGCAUAAGCUUAUAUCAGAACGGAUGACCACUGAUAGUUAACAACAAGAUAAAUAUAACCUAAUUACAAGCAAAAUAUCAAACUAAUUGUUAACCCAACACAGGCAUGCAAUUCAGGGAAAGAUUAAAAGAAGUAAAAGGAACUCGGCAAACACAAGCCCCGCCUGUUUACCAAAAACAUCACCUCUAGCAUUUUCAGUAUUAGAGGCACUGCCUGCCCAGUGACACUAGUUAAGCGGCCGCGGUAUCCUG